ACCUAGAGGCUCUGCUCUCUCUGCAGCUGCUACGUCCUCUGCACUUUGAUUGACAGGGACAGGCAGGGAAAAUGUGAUCACGCCUGGCCUGUCAAAGUGCAGAGGGCGCAGCAGUUAGAGAGAGCAGAGCCUCUAGGUGUAAUGACAAUGCCCCUGUUGCUCCUAGAGGCUAAUUUGCAUGUAUAACACAUCAUUUU